AUUGAACGCUGGCGGCAUGCUUUACACAUGCAAGUCGAACGGUAACAGGCCGCAAGGUGCUGACGAGUGGCGAACGGGUGAGUAAUGCUUCGGAACGUGCCCAGUCGUGGGGGAUAACUACUCGAAAGAGUAGCUAAUACCGCAUACGAUCUAUGGAUGAAAGCGGGGGACCGUAAGGCCUCGCGCGAUUGGAGCGGCCGAUGUCAGAUUAGGUAGUUGGUGGGGUAAAGGCUCACCAAGCCAACGAUCUGUAGCUGGUCUGAGAGGACGACCAGCCACACUGGGACUGAGACACGGCCCAGACUCCUACGGGAGGCAGCAGUGGGGAAUUUUGGACAAUGGGCGCAAGCCUGAUCCAGCAAUGCCGCGUGCAGGAAGAAGGCCUUCGGGUUGUAAACUGCUUUUGUACGGAACGAAACGGCUCUGGUUAAUACCCGGGGCUAAUGACGGUACCGUAAGAAUAAGCACCGGCUAACUACGUG
rnacentral:rRNA from 1 species